GGUCUUACGCAAUGGGAAUCCAUGAACCCCGUCAGGUCCGGAAGGAAGCAGCGGUAAGUGGACGCCCCCAUGUGCCGUAAGGGCGCCUGGUCCGAGCUAACUACCUAGAUAUCGUCUGGAAGGCCACAUUCGAGGAUAGGCGCACGA
rnacentral:SRP_RNA from 1 species